rnacentral:miRNA from 1 species
AACGUUGGCAGCCCCAGAUCU